GCUGAAGUGACAAAUGCCCUGCUUCCAGGAAAAGCCUCUAAGCAUCAGGUAACAUCAAAUCGUACCCCAAACCGACACAGGUGGUCAGGUAGAGAAUACCAAGGCGCUUGAGAGAACUCGGGUGAAGGAACUAGGCAAAAUGGUGCCGUAACUUCGGGAGAAGGCACGCUGAUAUGUAGGUGAAGUGGUUUACCCAUGGAGCUGAAAUCAGUCGAAGAUACCAGCUGGCUGCAACUGUUUAUUAAAAACACAGCACUGUGCAAACACGAAAGUGGACGUAUACGGUGUGACGCCUGCCCGGUGCCGGAAGGUUAAUUGAUGGGGUUAUCCCUCGGGAGAAGCUCUUGAUCGAAGCCCCGGUAAACGGCGGCCGUAACUAUAACGGUCCUAAGGUAGCGAAAUUCCUUGUCGGGUAAGUUCCGACCUGCACGAAUGGCGUAAUGAUGGCCAGGCUGUCUCCACCCGAGACUCAGUGAAAUUGAACUCGCUGUGAAGAUGCAGUGUACCCGCGGCAAGACGGAAAGACCCCGUGAACCUUUACUAUAGCUUGACACUGAACACUGGUCCUUGAUGUGUAGGAUAGGUGGGAGGCUUUGAAGUGUGGACGCCAGUCUGCAUGGAGCCGCCCUUGAAAUACCACCCUUUAAUGGCUGGUGUUCUAACGUGGGCCCGUAAUCCGGGUUGCGGACAGUGUCUGGUGGGUAGUUUGACUGGGGCGGUCUCCUCCUAAAGAGUAACGGAGGAGCACGAAGGUCAGCUAAUCCUGGUCGGACAUCAGGAGGUUAGUGCAAUGGCAUAAGCUGGCUUGACUGCGAGCGUGACGGCGCGAGCAGGUGCGAAAGCAGGUCAUAGUGAUCCGGUGGUUCUGAAUGGAAGGGCCAUCGCUCAACGGAUAAAAGGUACUCCGGGGAUAACAGGCUGAUACCGCCCAAGAGUUCAUAUCGACGGCGGUGUUUGGCACCUCGAUGUCGGCUCAUCACAUCCUGGGGCUGAAGUAGGUCCCAAGGGUAUGGCUGUUCGCCAUUUAAAGUGGUACGCGAGCUGGGUUUAGAACGUCGUGAGACAGUUCGGUCCCUAUCUGCCGUGGGCGCUGGAGAACUGAGGGGGGCUGCUCCUAGUACGAGAGGACCGGAGUGGACGCAUCACUGGUGUUCGGGUUGUCAUGCCAAUGGCACUGCCCGGUAGCUAAAUGCGGAAGAGAUAAGUGCUGAAAGCAUCUAAGCACGAAACUUGCC
rnacentral:rRNA from 1 species